rnacentral:rRNA from 1 species
GCGGACAGAUGGGAGCUUGCUCCCUGAUGUUAGCGGCGGACGGGUGAGUAACACGUGGGUAACCUGCCUGUAAGACUGGGAUAACUCCGGGAAACCGGGGCUAAUACCGGAUGCUUGUUUGAACCGCAUGGUUCAAACAUAAAAGGUGGCUUCGGCUACCACUUACAGAUGGACCCGCGGCGCAUUAGCUAGUUGGUGAGGUAAUGGCUCACCAAGGCAACGAUGCGUAGCCGACCUGAGAGGGUGAUCGGCCACACUGGGACUGAGACACGGCCCAGACUCCUACGGGAGGCAGCAGUAGGGAAUCUUCCGCAAUGGACGAAAGUCUGACGGAGCAACGCCGCGUGAGUGAUGAAGGUUUUCGGAUCGUAAAGCUCUGUUGUUAGGGAAGAACAAGUACCGUUCGAAUAGGGCGGUACCUUGACGGUACCUAACCAGAAAGCCACGGCUAACUACGUGCCAGCAGCCGCGGUAAUACGUAGGUGGCAAGCGUUGUCCGGAAUUAUUGGGCGUAAAGGGCUCGCAGGCGGUUUCUUAAGUCUGAUGUGAAAGCCCCCGGCUCAACCGGGGAGGGUCAUUGGAAACUGGGGAACUUGAGUGCAGAAGAG